rnacentral:rRNA from 1 species
UACGAAGGGGGCUAGCGUUGCUCGGAAUCACUGGGCGUAAAGGGCGCGUAGACGGCGUUUUAAGUCGGGGGUGAAAGCCUGUGGCUCAACCACAGAAUGGCCUUCGAUACUGGGACGCUUGAGUAUGGUAGAGGUUGGUGGAACUGCGAGUGUAGAGGUGAAAUUCGUAGAUAUUCGCAAGAACACCGGUGGCGAAGGCGGCCAACUGGACCAUUACUGACGCUGAGGCGCGAAAGCGUGGGGAGCAAACAGG